UACUAAUAUGAUAAUAAUUGAAUUAUUAAUUCAAUUGUGAUUCACUCAUUUGUUAAAUAUUUACUGAGUAAACACACAUACACACUCUUUUCUCUCUCUCGUUUCUUUGUGCUAUGGAAAUUUCCAAAUCCUCCAAGAGCUAGUACUACUUUUAAAAAAAUUUUUUUAAAAAAAGACUGUUGAUCAGCAAUAUAGCCCAAUAGAAAUAUAAAGCAAGCUACAUAUGUAAUUUUAAAUUUUCCAGUAACCACCUUAAGAAAGUAAAAAAGUGGCAAGUGAAAUUAUGUUUUAAAUAUAUGUUAUUUAACCAAUCAUUUCUAGGUGUGUCACUAGCCACAUUUCAAGUGCCUAGCAGCCACACUAGAUAGUUCAGUUUUAGACGGUCAGAAAGGAAAACCAAGGAGAAGCUCAAUUUUCCAAUCACAUGUCACAGCAAACUGUCAAAAGAACUGAAACACAGUCUGAUAAUCAGAUAGGCAGAACCAGAUGGCACAAAGGUAUAUCUCAAAUUUAAAAGGCACAUAGUGGGGUUUUCCUAAAGUUCAGUCUGCUAAGGCCAUUGUAUUAAGAGUUGAGCAUUCCUGACCCUGAAUACUGGGGGCCUGGUGUUUUUCUGGUUGCUUUGUUUGCUUGGAUGUUGUUGUUGUUGUUUACAUUGUAACCUUUUUCUUUAUUCCACAUUUUAUCCAGACCUCAAUGUAUGAAACAGAUGAAAGCAGGGCAUGCAGACUAACAAGCAUGGGCUGAUUGAGGUCAGAUACAGUAAUAUCAUAUUGCUAUAAAACGCAAGAUUAAUGAGGGAAAAGUCAACGUGGAAGCACCGCCAGAUCCUGAGGAAAUGGCAAAGCAACAUAUUUUAGCUGCUCAUAUAAAGAGUCGUCAACCUAGACUAUCAGAGCCGGAAAGACCCUUCAAGAUCAUCUAUACAUGAUAGUUUUCAAACGGCAGCUGGGUCCCAUUAGCGCUGCAGUUAUGAAAUCAGGUGAGGUGAAUCGCAUGUUUAAUGAAAAGACCGGAAUAAAACAGAAUGGAAGAGAUGCACUGUUUCAUGAAACUUUUGCUUCAAUUGUGUGGAGACAGUGUGUGUAUGCUGGAUAAUAAUGUAUUUCUUAUUUUGGUUUAAAAAGUUUGGAAAACACUGAUCCGCAUCAGUGAUUUUUAACUUUCGUGAGGGGGCCACAAAGCCUUUUGAGAAUCUAAUGAAAACAACAGACCUACUUCCCAGAAAAGACAUAUACUGACAAUUUGCAUGCAAUUUUAUGGUUGAGCCUGGAAUCUGGGUAAAGAAUCCCCCAAAUAGGUUGUCUUUCUUUUUACAGCUGAAGUCCAGAAAGGUUAUUACUUCCCAUGUUGGGAAAGAAAAGAAACAUCUUUUUAACUCCCACCCCAGUAUAUGAAGAAAAUCUUUUCCAAAAGUGAGAUGUCAUUUUGGGGAAGAUAUUAUUUCUAUUAAUAAAAGAAAAAAUUAA